CCUACGGGUGGCAGCAGUGAGGAAUAUUGGUCAAUGGACGAGAGUCUGAACCAGCCAAGUAGCGUGAAGGAUGACUGCCCUAUGGUUUGUAAACUUCUUUUAUAUGGGAGUAAAAUGUUCCACGUGUGGGGUUUUGUCUGUACCAUAUGAAUAAGGAUCGGCUAACUCCGUGCCAGCAGCCGCGGUAAUACGGAGGAUCCGAGCGUUAUCCGGAUUUAUCGGGUUUAAAGGGAGCGUAGGUGGGUUGUUAAGUCAGUUGUGAAAGUUUGCGGCUCAACCGUAAAAUUGCAGUUGAAACUGGCAGUCUUGAGUACAGUAGAGGUGGGCGGAAUUCGUGGUGUAGCGGUGAAAUGCUUAGAUAUCACGAAGAACUCCGAUGGCGAAGGCAGCUCACUGGACUGCAACUGACACUGAGGCUCGAAAGUGUGGGUAUCAAACAGGAUUAGAUACCCUAGUAGUC
rnacentral:rRNA from 1 species